rnacentral:rRNA from 1 species
AACAAACGCUGGCGGCAUGCUUUACACAUGCAAGUCGAACGGUAACAGGUUAAGCUGACGAGUGGCGAACGGGUGAGUAAUGCAUCGGAACGUGCCCGAUCGUGGGGGAUAACGCAGCGAAAGCUGCGCUAAUACCGUAUACGAUCUGAGGAUGAAAGCGGGGGACCGUAAGGCCUCGCGCGAUCGGAGCGGCCGAUGUCAGAUUAGGUAGUUGGUGGGGUAAAGGCUCACCAAGCCAACGAUCCGUAGCUGGUCUGAGAGGACGACCAGCCACACUGGGACUGAGACACGGCCCAGACUCCUACGGGAGGCAGCAGUGGGGAAUUUUGGACAAUGGGCGAAAGCCUGAUCCAGCAAUGCCGCGUGCAGGAAAAAGGCCUUCGGGUUGUAAACUGCUUUUGUACGGAGCGAAAAGGCUCUCUCUAAUACAGGGGGCUCAUGACGGUACCGUAAGAAUAAGCACCGGCUAACUACGUGCCAGCCGCCGCCGUAA